UCCCUGGUAGUAUAUCGGUUAGUACACGCGCCUGUCAUUGAGGCCUAGCUUAUAGACCGCGCGAAAGCUGGGUUCGACUCCCAGCCAGGGAG